rnacentral:lncRNA from 1 species
CUAUCUCAUACCUGAAUAACCCAAGACCUUCGGGAACAAGAUGAAGUAGUGUUUCAUCUUCAUUCCUAAGUCAUGACAGCAGCAGCCCCACCACUUGACUGGUUGAAGAAUCUUGGAGUCAUCAGGGAGUCCUAUGAAUCUGCCAAGGAAGUGAAGAUUACCUGAGAAGGUUUGUCAUCAGAACCAAGACACAGGAAAUCAUGGCCCCUCGUGCUUUCUAGCCUGGAAUUGUUCCAGUUGAAAUGCAAGCUCAUCCACCCUGUGUGACUAAAGGUAUUAAAAGUGAUGAAGAAUAUGGACAGGUUGAAGGCUUGGGAGUGCCUCAGAUGGAUAGAUUUGGCAUUAACAGAAAGCUGAGUUUUUUCAGCUGGCUCAUCAGAUGGAAAGAAAAGAACACAACUGUGGAAAAAGUAGCCAGUGAAAACAAGUUGAGAGUCACAAAUGAAGGUAACCAGAGACCAAUCGAACUGAAAAUCUUCCCUCUAAGGCAACCCUACAUCCCAUAUGCUGUGGCUGUCUCUUUCAUCACCAAGAUGACAGACGACUUGUACCAAGUACAACAAAAGCACAAACAGAUAACCAAGAAAAUAGAGUUUAUGAGGAAAGAAAAGGUGAAAGAGAUAAAAUUUUUCUACCAUACUAAUGUUAUAGUGCUAAUAAUUUACUAUUGCUAGUAAUUUACCAUUGAUGCAAUUUAUAAUGUAUCAUUAUUACCAAUGUUCUAUUAAAAAUGAUAUGAAUAAUAGUGAGUCUUGUGUUUUUUUUUUUUUUUUUUAAGUAAGCUUUAUUUGUGUGGUUGAGCACGUGACAUAUUUAACAGUCAAAGUACCAUUGACCUGUGAGCCCUCAGUUUGCACCUCAUGGUGUAGUGUCAGGUGACAGCUCCCCCUGCUGGCCAAGAGUGUAAUUGAAACUGCCUCUAAAGCAUAAUACUAUAAACACCUAGUUUGCUGAUCUAAAGGUGGGAAGACAUCUAGACACACACAAAACUAUACUUAUUCACACUUUCACUCCUGUCACACACACAUAGGCUUCACAAAUCCUGAAGAAAUAAGAAAGACAUGAUGCAUCUGAAAGCUAUCUUCUUGCAUAUAACAUUAGUGCAAAUCAGGCAGGCUAUACUACUAGUUUUUCAAAAUAUAUCUCAAUCUACA